rnacentral:tRNA from 1 species
GGCCCCAUGGUCUAGCCUGGUCCAGGACGUCACCCUCUCACGGUGAAAACAGGGGUUCGAAUCCCCUUGGGGCUACCA